CAAUAGCGUAUAUUAAAGUUGUUGCGGUUAAAAAGCUCGUAGUUGGAUUUCUGCCGAGGACGACCGGUCCGCCCUCUGGGUGUGUAUCUGGUUUGGCCUGGGCAUCUUCUUGGAGAACGUAGCUGCACUUGACUGUGUGGUGCGGUGUCCAGGACUUUUACUUUGAGGAAAUUAGAGUGUUUCAAGCAGGCACACGCCUUGAAUACAUUAGCAUGGAAUAAUAAGAUAGGACCUCGGUUCUAUUUUGUUGGUUUCUAGAGCUGAGGUAAUGAUUAAUAGGGAUAGUUGGGGGCAUUCGUAUUUAACUGUCAGAGGUGAAAUUCUUGGAUUUGCUAAAGACGGACUACUGCGAAAGCAUUUGCCAAGGAUGUUUUCAUUGA
rnacentral:rRNA from 1 species